CCUACGGGAGGCAGCAGUGAGGAAUAUUGGUCAAUGGACGAGAGUCUGAACCAGCCAAGUCGCGUGAAGGAUGACUGCCCUAUGAGUUGUAAACUUCUUUUAUACAGGAAUAAAACGAGGCACGUGUGCCUUUUUGCAUGUACUUUAUGAAUAAGGAUCGGCUAACUCCGUGCCAGCAGCCGCGGUAAUACGGAGGAUCCGAGCGUUAUCCGGAUUUAUUGGGUUUAAAGGGAGCGUAGAUGGGUUGGUAAGUCAGUGGUGAAAUGGUGCGGCUCAACAGUAAAAUUGCAAUUGAUACUGGCAGUCUUGAGUACAGUUGAGGUAGGCGGAAUUCGUGGUGUAGCGGUGAAAUGCUUAGAUAUCACGAAGAACCCCGAUUGCGAAGGCAGCUUACUAAACUGUGACUGACAUUGAUGCUCGAAAGUGUGGGUAGCAAACAGGAUUAGAUACCCCAGUAGUC
rnacentral:rRNA from 1 species